rnacentral:rRNA from 1 species
AGCAGCCGCGGUAAUUCCAGCUCCAAUAGCGUAUAUUAAAGUUGUUGCAGUUAAAAAGCUCGUAGUUGAAUUUCGGAAUCAAUGGAUCGGUCAUGCCACUCGGUGUGUACUGGUUUGAUUGGUUCUCACCUUCUAAGGAACCGUGAUGUCAUUAAUUUGGUGUCGCGGGGAAUUAGGACUGUUACCUUGAAAAAAUUAGAGUGUUUAAAGCAAGCUCACGCUUGAAUACAUUAGCAUGGAAUAAUGAAAUAGGACAUUGUAUUCUAUUUUGUUGGUUUCUAGGAUCGAUGUAAUGAUUAAUAGGGAUAGUUGGGGGCAUUAGUAUUCAAUUGUCAGAGGUGAAAUUCUUGGAUUUAUUGAAGACUAACUACUGCGAAAGCAUUUGCCAAGGAUGUUUUCAUUAAUCAAGAACGAAAGUUAGGGGAUCGAAGACGAUCAGAUACCGUCGUAGUCUUAACCAUAAACUAUGC